rnacentral:rRNA from 1 species
UGCGUAGGUGGUAUGGCAAGUCAGAAGUGAAAACCCAGGGCUUAACUCUGGGACUGCUUUUGAAACUGUCAGACUGGAGUGCAGGAGAGGUAAGCGGAAUUCCUAGUGUAGCGGUGAAAUGCGUAGAUAUCGGGAGGAACACCAGUGGCGAAGGCGGCCUACUGGGCACCAACUGACGCUGAGGCUCGAAAGUGUGGGUAGCAAACA